rnacentral:lncRNA from 1 species
UGUCGGGAGUCUUUUUAGAGGUCAGGGGUGUUUGAUAGGAACUCCCCGUCUCCAUCGGGACGAAGUCCUUCAGGUCUUUGGUGCGGUUUGUCCUUCAUCUAUUUCCGUCGUAGCUCGUCGCCCUUCCUUUUUAAUUUUCCUCCUCUCCAAGUGAGGGCCCUCCCCUCGCUUUUUACGGGGUUGCAUAGGAGCGAGGAGGUGCCGCUGGGGGGCUUU